rnacentral:rRNA from 1 species
UACAGAGGUCUCAAGCGUUGUUCGGAUUCAUUGGGCGUAAAGGGUGCGUAGGCGGCGCGGUAAGUCGGGUGUGAAAUCUCGGAGCUUAACUCCGAAACUGCAUUCGAUACUGCCGUGCUUGAGGACUGGAGAGGAGACUGGAAUUUACGGUGUAGCGGUGAAAUGCGUAGAUAUCGUAAGGAAGACCAGUGGCGAAGGCGGGUCUCUCUACAGUUCCUGACGCUGAGGCACGAAGGUCAGGGGAGCAAACGGG